CGAACACCUUCCGAGUAAUGAAAUGUCUAGAGUUCUAAUCUAAAGAGGCCAACUCUAGAUUAACAUUAAGAUCACUCAAUCAAGCAAGGAAACAUAUUAAUCUAACUCUAAACACUCUAGAUCAUCACUUAAUCAUCCUAACCCAUCAAUCCAAAGAUGACUACUCACUCAUUAUCAUGGUAGACACUAUAUCAUUAGUUGAUCUAAGUCUAAACAUGAUUAA
rnacentral:lncRNA from 1 species